UGAAAAUAUGAAUAAUUGAAUAGGACUGUGUUUCCUAAAGUCUCAUGGAAUAUUUCCUUUGUCUGAAGCUCCCUGGGGCCUGUGCUACUGAAAACACUGUCAGUUAAAGCUCUUCCAUUCUCCAGGAGCUGCCUCAGGAGUGAGAGCACAUUUAUCUCUGUUGUCACACCCCCUCUGCUGAGAACUCAUCUCCUGGCUGCCACUCUGUUUGGGACACCUGGAGGACCAUGAGGUCACAGCAGCAGCUAAAGGAGCAACAGCAGCACUGAAAGAAGGGAAAUGCCAACUCUUCUCUGGUAAGGAUUUCCUGGUGAGAAGCAGUGUGAGAAGGCAGCAGGUUUGCAUUCUGGGCUUCAGCACACACAAGCCCCAGUGCACACAGGAGCACCACAUGGCAGCAUGAGAACUUCAAAAUCCAGGUUCUUCUGUGAAAAUACACCACAAAAAUAUGAAUUACACCUUGGGAUGCCCAUGGUGGGGUGCCACAGCUCGGAUCUGCCUUCUCACCACCCAGCACACAGCCACACAACAGCUUAGCAAAGCUUAAGGUUUCGUUACUUUUACUCUGCUGAUCCCCACCUGGCCCUCGGAUAAAAGCAUCAUCUCUGUACAGCAAGUUGGGAAAGUAGCACAGGGAAUGAGCCAUGGUUUGAAUGGAGAGCUCUGCACCAAGGAUUUUGUGUCUCUCAUCAGGGAACAGGAUCUGUGGUGACUCAGUGAAUAUUCACCAGAAGAGGCACGAGGACAAAUCAUGCAAGCUUGAAGGACCCUACCUGCUAUGAGGACAGCUACUGCCAGUAAAUACCAGUUUAGGGAGCUUUGAACUAAAAACUGUACACAAUACACAGAAAGUUUGGCUUUAUGUGACAAAUUGCA